rnacentral:rRNA from 1 species
AGCCCCAGCUUGCUGGGGUGGAUUAGUGGCGAACGGGUGAGUAACACGUGAGCAACCUGCCCCUGACUCUGGGAUAAGCGCUGGAAACGGCGUCUAAUACCGGAUAUGCACUGUAGCCGCAUGGUUUGCAGUGGGAAAGAUUUAUCGGUUGGGGAUGGGCUCGCGGCCUAUCAGCUUGUUGGUGAGGUAAUGGCUCACCAAGGCGUCGACGGGUAGCCGGCCUGAGAGGGUGACCGGCCACACUGGGACUGAGACACGGCCCAGACUCCUACGGGAGGCAGCAGUGGGGAAUAUUGCACAAUGGGCGCAAGCCUGAUGCAGCAACGCCGCGUGAGGGAUGACGGCCUUCGGGUUGUAAACCUCUUUUAGCAGGGAAGAAGCCUUCGGGUGACGGUACCUGCAGAAAAAGCGCCGGCUAACUACGUGCCAGCAGCCGCGGUAAUACGUAGGGCGCAAGCGUUAUCCGGAAUUAUUGGGCGUAAAGAGCUCGUAGGCGGUUUGUCGCGUCUGCUGUGAAAACUGGAGGCUCAACCUCCAGCCUGCAGUGGGUACGGGCAGACUAGAGUGCGGUAGGGGAGAUUGGAAUUCCUGGUGUAGCGGUGGAAUGCGCAGAUAUCAGGAGGAACACCGAUGGCGAAGGCAGAUCUCUGGGCCGUUACUGACGCUGAGGAGCGAAAGGGUGGGGAGCAAACAGGCUUAGAUACCCUGGUAGUCCACCCCGUAAACGUUGGGAACUAGUUGUGGGGGCCUUUCCACGGUCUCUGUGACGCAGCUAACGCAUUAAGUUCCCCGCCUGGGGAGUACGGCCGCAAGGCUAAAACUCAAAGGAAUUGACGGGGACCCGCACAAGCGGCGGAGCAUGCGGAUUAAUUCGAUGCAACGCGAAGAACCUUACCAAGGCUUGACAUAUACGAGAACGCUGCAGAAAUGUAGAACUCUUUGGACACUCGUAUACAGGUGGUGCAUGGUUGUCGUCAGCUCGUGUCGUGAGAUGUUGGGUUAAGUCCCGCAACGAGCGCAACCCUCGUUCUCUGUUGCCAGCACGUUAUGGUGGGAACUCAGGGGAUACUGCCGGGGUCAACUCG